UACGUAGGGCGCAAGCGUUGUCCGGAAUUAUUGGGCGUAAAGAGCUCGUAGGCGGCUUGUCACGUCGAUUGUGAAAGCCCGAGGCUUAACCUCGGGUCUGCAGUCGAUACGGGCUAGCUAGAGUGUGGUAGGGGAGAUCGGAAUUCCUGGUGUAGCGGUGAAAUGCGCAGAUAUCAGGAGGAACACCGGUGGCGAAGGCAGAUCUCUGGGCCAUUACUGACGCUGAGGAGCGAAAGCGUGGGGAGCGAACAGG
rnacentral:rRNA from 1 species